rnacentral:misc_RNA from 1 species
AAAGUCGUAACAAGGUUUCCGUAGGUGAACCUGCGGAAGGAUCAUUAAAGAGUAAGGGUCUUUUAUUAGGCCCGACCUCCAACCCUUUGUCUAUCUACCUCUGUUGCUUUGGCGGGCCUGCUGGGGAGACCCACCGCCGGCCUAGGCCGGUGAGUGCCCGUCAGAGACCACCUAAAACUCUGUUUAUCGAUGAUGUCUGAGUACCACAUAAUAAUUAAAACUUUCAACAACGGAUCUCUUGGUUCUG